rnacentral:tRNA from 1 species
UCCCCGAUGGUCUAGUGGUCAUGAGUCAGUCUCUCCUCACUUUCUGAGACAUAGGAGACCAGGGUUCGAUUCCCUGUCGAGGAG